rnacentral:rRNA from 1 species
CGGCCCAGACUCCUACGGGAGGCAGCAGUGGGGAAUAUUGCACAAUGGGCGGAAGCCUGAUGCAGCAACGCCGCGUGCGGGAUGACGGCCUUCGGGUUGUAAACCGCUUUCGCCUGUGACGAAGCGUGAGUGACGGUAAUGGGUAAAGAAGCACCGGCUAACUACGUGCCAGCAGCCGCGGUGAUACGUAGGGUGCGAGCGUUGUCCGGAUUUAUUGGGCGUAAAGGGCUCGUAGGUGGUUGAUCGCGUCGGAAGUGUAAUCUUGGGGCUUAACCCUGAGCGUGCUUUCGAUACGGGUUGACUUGAGGAAGGUAGGGGAGAAUGGAAUUCCUGGUGGAGCGGUGGAAUGCGCAGAUAUCAGGAGGAACACCGAUGGCGAAGGCAAUCCCCUGGACCUGUACUGACGCUCAUGCACGAAAGCGUGGGGAGCAAACAGGAUUAGAUACCCU